UGGGGAAUAUUGGACAAUGGGGGGAACCCUGAUCCAGCCAUGCCGCGUGUGUGAAGAAGGCCUUAUGGUUGUAAAGCACUUUAAGCGAGGAGGAGGCUCUCUUGGUUAAUACCCAAGAAGAGUGGACGUUACUCGCAGAAUAAGCACCGGCUAACUCUGUGCCAGCAGCCGCGGUAAUACAGAGGGUGCGAGCGUUAAUCGGAUUUACUGGGCGUAAAGCGUGCGUAGGCGGCUUUUUAAGUCGGAUGUGAAAUCCCCGAGCUUAACUUGGGAAUUGCAUUCGAUACUGAGAAGCUAGAGUAUGGGAGAGGAUGGUAGAAUUCCAGGUGUAGCGGUGAAAUGCGUAGAGAUCUGGAGGAAUACCGAUGGCGAAGGCAGCCAUCUGGCCUAAUACUGACGCUGAUGUACGAAAGCAUGGGGAGCAAACAGG
rnacentral:rRNA from 2 species